UUCGUACUUCCUCCGUUCAACAAAAGAUAUCUUAAUUUUGAGUAAAUUUGAAUGCAUCUAUACACUAAGUCACAUUUAGAUACAUCCAAAUUUUAACAAACUUGAGAAAUCUUUUGUUGGAUGGAGGAAGUAUAUA
rfam:Brachypodium distachyon strain Bd21 chromosome 4, whole genome shotgun sequence.